rnacentral:misc_RNA from 1 species
GAGUGCCUUCUUAUACCUCUAUCCUGCUUCCCCUUCUUCAUCCUCCACGCCCUUCUCUACUCUCCAUCUCCGGCAUCUUCAGCCCUCUGCCACUCCAAUGAUAAAAAGGCACUCGUCCAAAUCCAGUCCGAUUUGGGCAAUCCCUACGACCUCAUCUCCUGGAACACGCCGGCCGCCGGUGGCUGCUGCGGCUGGCCUGGUGUCCAAUGUGAUGCCAACGGCCGUGUUAAUGACCUCUACAUAGACCAGAUCAGCACCCCCAUUACCAUCCCCGCCUCGGUUGCCGGCCUCGAAUACCUGACCACCCUCGAAUUCCACAAAAUCCCUAACCUCACUGGCCCCAUCCCCCCUGUCGUCGGACAGCUGACUAAUCUCACAUUCCUCCGCCUCGACUGGAAUGCGCUUUCCGGCCCUAUCCCCUCCUUCCUCGCCAACCUCACCUCGCUAGACUACCUCAACCUCUCCUUCAACAAGUUUUCCGGCUCCAUCCCUGCCUUCCUCGCCAAUCUCCCCCUCGGUUUCACCCGCCUCGACCGCAACCGCCUCACCGGUCCCAUACCAGAAUCACUUGCUAGGACUACUUCCACCUACCUCUACCUUUCCCACAACAACCUAACCGGGCCGCUACCACCUUCCUUUGCUUCCACAUCUGUCCAGGUCAUUGAUUUCUCCCGCAACCGCCUUGCCGGAGAUGCCUCGCUUCUGUUAGGCGCCAAGAAGCCACUACAGAAUCUUGAUUUGUCAAGGAAUUUGUUCGAGUUCGACCUGACUAAGGUGGUGUUUCCGGAGAAUCUGACGACUCUAGAUAUAAACCACAACAAAAUCUAUGGAAGUAUUCCCAAGCAGAUUACAGAACUACAGGGGCUGUACUUCCUGAAUGUGAGCUACAACAGGCUCUGCGGCGAGAUUCCGAAGCUCGGGCGGUAUGAUCAGUACUCCUUCUUCCACAACAAGUGCCUCUGUGGACCACCGCUGGCCGCCUGCAAGGGCCAGUGAUUGUAAUAGUACUCAGUUGUUCGUUCUCUUCAUUGUAAUAGUACUCAGUUGUUCGUUCUCUUCGGUGCAAGACCUAGUGAACUUAGUUGUACUCAAUUGUGCCUCUCUUCUGUCUUCUACAUCUUUCUGAGAUGUAAGGAGCGUAAUAAUUGAGAUGGCCAUCUGUCCGUCUGUUGUACUAUUGAUCUCGUGGUUUGGUCCAUUGUUCGCUUUUGGGACCAGACAUU